ensembl:lncRNA
UCCUCAUCUUCCCCUCAAGUCAUGUGUUUAAAUAGUGUUCCCAACCCAAGUUUCUUGGUCUGCUGUUAAAUGUCAUCCCCUAUGUUCCAGUGUUUGUUGUCUCAUUGUUUCCUGAAUAAAACUCCUUCGAAGUAUUCUCCAGCGUCUCCUCGUCCCUUCCUGCCUGAGUGACCGUGGCAGAACAGCAGACCGAAUUGUUUUGCGUGCGUUCCUCCACGUCCCCUAAUGGAGGAACGAGCCCUGUUUAUCGCCUUGGCUCAGGCGAGCCCAGACCCGGUCAGUUAUGCGAGGGCAUUCGUGCCACUCGCCCUUGCCAGCUCCCUCGAGGGGGAAACACUUGUGAUGCUGUUCCGGAUUGGGAUAACAUACCAUUAUCCCACGGAGCUCCCAGACACAACCAACCUUGACUGGAAGGAGGCAGUCAUCCGGUGUCUGGAGAGCCUCCGGUCCCGAUCCGGAACUCCUCAGCCAGCAGUUCCCGAGCCCAGUCAACCAUUAGUUCCUGAGCCCAGUCAUUACCAAAUGGUAAUCCAGCCCCAGAGCUCGCUCCAGUGUCGGCUCCAGCCCCAGAGCUCGCUCCAGUGUCGGCUCCAGCCCCAGAGCUCGCUCCAGUGUCAGCUCCAGCUCCUAAACUCACUCCAGUGCCAGCUCUUUGAAAGCACUUUGCUGUGCCUGCUCCUCAAGAGCACCAGCCGGUGCCAGCACCACGUAAGCACAUACCCAAUCCCCAGUUAAGCACAGGAGGGGCUCCUGUUCCCAAGUAAAGCCCACGGAGGGCUCCUGUUCCCGAGUCAAGCUCACGAUGGGCUCCUGAUCCCCCGUCAAGCCCAGGGAGGGCUACUGAUCCCCUGUCAAGCCCAGGGUCAUCCCCGAUGUUCCAGUGUUUGUUGUCUCCUUGUUUCCUGAACAAAGCUCCUUCGAAGUAUUCUCCAGCGUCUCCUCGUACCUUCCUGCCUGAGUGACCGUGACACUAACCAUAAAAUAAAAGUUUUGAUAUGCCUGAGGUACUGAUAUGCCUAAAGUCUUCAUCUCAUAUCAAAUGAUUUACUAGUUAUCAAAAGUAUUAUUAAUUUCUUUAGGUCAGGGAUCCUCAAAUCUGGCCCACAAGAUCCACUUUCCUGCA